AGCCAUCAGGGUGUUAGUUCCCGGAUGGUGGAGGGAAUGUCAAAGAACUGACUACACUCGUAGAAGGACAGGGAAUUGGUUUUCGGACACGGGUUCGACUCCCGUCUAGUCCAUCC
rnacentral:tmRNA from 1 species